UACGGAGGGAGCUAGCGUUAUUCGGAAUUACUGGGCGUAAAGCGUGCGCAGGCGGUUUUGUAAGCCAGAUGUGAAAGCCCCGGGCUUAACCUGGGAAUGGCAUUUGGGACUGCAAGGCUUGAGUGCGGCAGAGGAGACUGGAAUUCCUGGUGUAGCAGUGAAAUGCGUAGAUAUCAGGAGGAAUACCGAUGGCGAAGGCAGGUCUCUGGGCUGACACUGACGCUCAUGCACGAAAGCGUGGGAGCAAACAGG
rnacentral:rRNA from 1 species